CCUACGGGAGGCAGCAGUGAGGAAUAUUGGUCAAUGGGCGGAAGCCUGAACCAGCCAAGUAGCGUGCGGGAUGAAGGCCCUACGGGUCGUAAACCGCUUUUGCACGGGGAUAACACCCUCCACUUGUGGAGGUCUGCAGGUACCGUGCGAAUAAGGGCCGGCUAAUUCCGUGCCAGCAGCCGCGGUAAUACGGAAGGCCCGAGCGUUAUCCGGAUUCAUUGGGCUUAAAGGGAGCGUAGGCGGGCGUUCAAGUCAGCUGUAAAAUCGCGCGGCACAACCGCGCCCCGCAGUGGAAACUGGACGCAUUGAGUUAACAACAGCACGGGGGAAUUCGUGGGGGAGCGGUGAAAGGAAUAGA
rnacentral:rRNA from 1 species